GAUGAACGCUGGCGGCGUGCCUAAUACAUGCAAGUCGAGCGAACAGAUAAGGAGCUUGCUCCUUUGACGUUAGCGGCGGACGGGUGAGUAACACGUGGAUAACCUACCUAUAAGACUGGGAUAACUUCGGGAAACCGGAGCUAAUACCGGAUAACAUAUUGAACCGCAUGGUUCAAUAGUGAAAGGCGGCUUUGCUGUCACUUAUAGAUGGAUCCGCGCCGUAUUAGCUAGUUGGUAAGGUAACGGCUUACCAAGGCAACGAUACGUAGCCGACCUGAGAGGGUGAUCGGCCACACUGGAACUGAGACACGGUCCAGACUCCUACGGGAGGCAGCAGUGGGGAAUCUUCGGCAAUGGGCGAAAGCCUGACGGAGCAACGCCGCGUGAGUGAUGAAGGUCUUCGGAUCGUAAAACUCUGUUAUCAGGGAAGAACAAAUGUGUAAGUAACUGUGCACAUCUUGACGGUACCUGAUCAGAAAGCCACGGCUAACUACGUG
rnacentral:rRNA from 1 species